rnacentral:rRNA from 1 species
GAUAAACGCUGGCGGCGCACAUAAGACAUGCAAGUUGAACGGACUUAAUCGAAAUAUUUAUAUUUUGAAGCGGUUAGUGGCGGACUGGUGAGUAACGCGUAAGGAACCUGCCUAUUAGAGGGGAAUAACAGUGAGAAAUCAUUGCUAAUACCGCAUAUGCCAUAGAUAUCACAUGAUAACAGUGGGAAAGGAGCGAUCCGCUAGUAGAUGGCCUUGCGUCUGAUUAGAUAGUUGGUGGGGUAACGGCCUACCAAGUCGACGAUCAGUAGCCGGACUGAGAGGUUGAACGGCCACAUUGGGACUGGGCUCCGGCCCAGACUCCUACGGGAGGCAGCAGUCGGGAAUAUUGCGCAAUGGAGGAAACUCUGACGCAGUGACGCCGCGUAUAGGGAGAAGGUUUUCGGAUUGUAAACUAUUGUCGUUAGGGAAGAGAAAGGACAGUACCUAAGGAGGAAGCUCCGGCUAACUACGUG